UGGUUUUUCAAGGGUCAUUGUGAGUCAUACAUGACUGCUCUAAACAAAAAUGACGAAUGUAACUCAUUGAAUUAACCUGCAAUUUAAAACUCAGUGUUUUGUAAGAAUGGAUCAACGGUUCUGUAAAGACUGUCUCAAUGAGCAUGUAGUCUGGUCCACUUGUGCAGUUUAUUCUUGCCAAGAACUCCACAUCAGUGUAGCGCCAUUUUGGCGAAUCUGAGCUGUACACAGGCUGCGUGGAGUGACACUGAGGAGACAAAUUGGUGAAUAUAAUUGUUAUUUUUGUUUUAUGCAUGUAAAAAAAAAGUAUUCUCGUUGCUUCAUACGGUUACGAUUGAACCACUGAUGGCAGAUGGACUAUUCUGACGAUGCUUUUCAUACUUUUCUGGAGCUUGACGGUGUUACUUACUUGGCAGUCUAUGGGACAGUCUCAAGUCUUCCUGUUUUCAUCCAAAAUAUCUUAAAUUGUGUCCCGAAGACGAACAAAGCGUUUAUGGGUUUGAAACGAUAUGGGUUCCAUUGUGUCUGCUGCAAGAGGCCUAAUGAAGGUUGGGCAUGAAGGACGAAGGAAAAUACAGAAUCGUUACCCCGGGAAACAACCGCAAGCUCACAGCCGCCAGGAACCCCGUCUGUCAGUCUGUCCUAAAAAUAGUCUCCAUGAAUCCAAUAGAGCGAAUAAGGGCUCGCUCUGUGGAAGAACAGCAGAGAUGAGCAGCAUUCACACUCAGCUGGCAGAGGAACUCAACAUGCACACCCCAAAUCCCUAAACUAAUGUUCCUCUAAAUCAAAUGUCCCUUCAAACGAUCUCCCCUGCCAAAUAAAAGAUUUGAACAUCCUACAAGUACUUUGUUUAAAUUGUAUUUGUCCUUUUGGCCUUUUAAAUCAUUAUACCAUCUGAAGUUAAGAACAAACGGCCUCCCACACAGAGUCUGUUUUGGAAUCAGUAAGCAUGUACCAUGUGAUUCAAAUCUCUUUACUACUACCUUUAUUUCAGGCCUAGAAAAGCUGAAUAAGCUUCACCCCAUCAUUUAUUCAGCAGGCUGCCAGACAAGC
ensembl:lncRNA